CACGAAGACGAAAGCGGCUCUUCGCGGCAGUCGCUGCUGCUCUUCAUCGUGGCCACGGCCAUCCUCGUAGUCUGCAUGGUGGCUGGCCUCAUCUCCAUCGCCCUGCUCGAACAGGUCGAGAGGCGCAAAAAACGGGUGUCCAUAGAUUCCCCCGACUUUGACUGAGGCGGCACGGAGCUCUUCGGCUACGGCUAGGCGUUCUUCCUGUGGAAGCGAGCCGCGUGGCGCCGCUCCGAUUUACCUGAACAAGCGACCUGCAGCCCAGACGAAGAACAGCCACUCCACCGAAGCGUUCCCACGGCAUCAGCUUCUUCACGCCGACAGCGCAUAACGCUGCCACUGAACUUUUUUUUUUCUCCGUGCACGUGUCCUCUUCUUUUUUUUUUUCUUCUCAACUUUUAACGCAUACCUAACAUGCUGUCUAUAGCAUUAAAAACCAUUCUGUGGACACGGGUAUAAAGAGAUCUACCUUAUUCUAUGCAUGGAUGUGUCACGCUUCAGAUUGACGAUUGGACAAUGCUAUAGUGCCGGGACCCCAAGUCGCUUCCAUAUACGCACGCUCUUGAGUUUUUUUUUUGUAUUUUCCUUGGAUGCUGCUGGACGUACAAA